GUGCUCGUUUUGGCAGCACGUAUACUAAGUCAGAAAGGUAUGGGUAAGAUUAGCUUGGCCCCUGAACAAGGAUGACACAUAAAUUCAUAAGUAUUUCAUAUGAAA
rnacentral:snRNA from 1 species